CUUUUUGUUAUUUUCAAAAGUGAAGAUUUUAGAGGAAUCAUGAAAUAAACUCUGUCCAAGAUUAAUCUCUUAAAUUUUUAAUUUAAAAAAAAGUAUAAUCUAUGAAUUUUGCAUUUGAAAAGUUUUGAAGUAAAUACAUAAUUUAUAAGAAAAAAAUGUAGAGCCCCUUGAAAGCACUCCUUUCACUAGACUUAGAGCUAGGAAGGGGGGUAAGGAAUUAAAUUGUUUAUGUUCAACUCUCUUAGUACCAGGUUAGGACUCGCCACAUGCACCCUCAUAUACCAGGUCAGGAAUAAGCGAGACUUCUUUGUGGAUAGAGUGAAAAAGUUGGUCUGUAGAGAGUUGGCGCAAUGAUGACUUUUGAUCAGCAUCCAUAGAUGAGUUUAAUGCAGUAAAAAAAUUGUAAAUCGAUCAUGGCCCACAUCCCCACAGAGGUUUGGGACCUUUACCAUUGUAAAAUAACUGAGUUUUACAAUUUUACUCUGUCAUUAUAAUUUUUACUUUACUUUUUUCAGGGAUGAAGGAGAGAGAAUAGUUUUUGAAGCAUCAAGCACACAGGUGCAGCCAUCAGCUGAAUUUUUGCAAGAACUCAAGGAGCUGCAGUUGAACAAACUUGUUACCCCUCCGUCUGGAUCACCAUCACCAUCUUCUGUCACUCCCACGCCCACUCCGCCAGAAUUCUUUGAUAAUAAUCAAGUAAAAAGAGGUGGAAUUUUGAAGCCAAGCAGUCUGAAAAAAACCAACGGAGAAGACUUCAAGGGAAAAGGUAGACAAAAUGUUGCCAUGCAGGCAAUUUUACGGAAAAAUAAUGAACAUGAUAGUAAACAGGUAACAUUCAAAACGCCAUCACCAACAUGCAGUGUUCAGUCUCAACCGGAGUGGCCUCCGACAGCACCAACGAACACUUCCAACUCCUUUCCCCACAAUUCGCCACCGUUUUUCGAGCGACCUCAAUUUCUACCGAACGCCAGCUCUCCCUCUCCUCACUGCCCAGCCUCCCCGAACACUCCCUCUGGCCCCCCACCCAACUACCCUCCCACUUUCUGCCCUCCAUCUCAGAACUUAGGCUUUCACAGUCCUCAUUCGAAGUUUUUCCCGCCACAAGUCCACGGAAUGGGAGCCCAGACUCAACCGAUAAAUCCUCCUGUUUUUUCAACCCAGCCACCGCAGGAACAGUUCAACCCUUGGAAUGGUGUAGUCUGGUUCAAUCCGGAAGAAAAAGACAAGCGAUUAUCAGCGGAACAAGUGCAAAAUGAAAACCACAUGUACAGUGAUCCAAACUCUUUCAGCAGACCGGCAGUCUUAGAAGAGCAAAGAAGUGUGCCACAGAAUCCAGAAUUUAUGAAAAAUGGCAUGUGGGAGCCUGUAAGACCUGCAAGUGUUUACUCAGAGGUGGGUACGUUGAAUACGCAAGUUUCUAAUUCAGCAAACAAUGCUCCUCAGCAGCAGUUGAACACAUAUUCGCUCUUCAGUCCUGCUUGGGGUAGACAACCCUUUAUCGAUGAACCAACAGAAACAUAUCCACCCUCUGAAAAUGCAUUGAAUAUGGCUCUUCUGGCACACCAGUCUUUAUGGUCAGGACCAGGACCAUCACCCCUGGAGAGACUUCUUGAACAACAGAAGCAACUACGAAACCCAAAAUAA
rnacentral:lncRNA from 1 species